GAAAUGCGAUAAGUAAUGUGAAUUGCAGAAUUCAGUGAAUCAUCGAAUCUUUGAACGCACCUUGCGCUCCUUGGUAUUCCUUGGAGCAUGCCUGUUUGAGUAUCAUGAAAUCUUCAAAGUAAAUCUUUUGUUAACUCAAUUGGUUUCUACUUUGGUAUUGGAGGUCUUUGCAGCUUCACACCUGCUCCUCUUUGUUCAUUAGCUGGAUCUCAGUGUUAUGCUUGGUUCCACUCGGCGUGAUAAGUUAUCUAUCGCUGAGGACACUGUAAAAGGUGGCCAAGGUAAAUGCAGAUGGACCGCUUCUAAUAGUCCAUUGACUUGGACAAUACUUUUAUGAUCUGAUCUCAAAUCAGGUAGGACUACCCGCUGAACUUAAGC
rnacentral:misc_RNA from 1 species